AACGAACGCUGGCGGCAUGCCUAACACAUGCAAGUCGAACGAGACCUUCGGGUCUAGUGGCGCACGGGUGCGUAACGCGUGGGAACCUGCCCUUAGGUUCGGAAUAACUCCCCGAAAGGGGUGCUAAUACCAGAUAAUGUCUUCGGACCAAAGAUUUAUCGCCUUUGGAUGGGCCCGCGUUGGAUUAGCUAGUUGGUAGGGUAAAAGCCUACCAAGGCGACGAUCCAUAGCUGGUCUGAGAGGAUGAUCAGCCACACUGGGACUGAGACACAGCCCAGACUCCUACGGGAAGCAGCAGUGGGGAAUAUUGGACAAUGGGCGAAAGCCUGAUCCAGCAAUGCCGCGUGAGUGAUGAAGGCCUUAGGGUUGUAAAGCUCUUUUACCCGGGAUGAUAAUGACAGUACCGGGAGAAUAAGCUCCGGCCAACUCCGUG
rnacentral:rRNA from 1 species